GUAAGGAGUCCAUGUCAACCAGAGGCUUUGCUCACGUUAAGUGAUGUUCAAAUUGCUCAAAACUGCUGCUGGGGAGGUAUUUUUUCCCAUUUGACAUUUGGUGGGUCUCCUGCACCUCCCCAGGACCUUGCAGUAUGAACUUCGUGGGGACAGAGAGCCUGCUCUCCCGUUCAGCCUGGCAUCUCAGCACUGCAGACUGCAUGGCGCAGGGGAUGCAAAGAUUAAAGUGGACCCGGGACUGACUCAUCUUUCAUGUGUGUUGAGGGAAGCUGUCUGACUGCAGCGUGCGUGGAAAGCAAGGGGCUCCCGCAGUUUGAAGUGGAGACCGCGAGAUCCUGUUCUGUGCCUGACAGGGGAGCUCUCCGGUGCUGUUUGUCGCCUCUGGCUCUCCUUUCUCCACUGCUCACACGCAAGGGACCAGAGCCGCUACCGUCCCUCCCUGGGUUCCAGGGGCGAGGAAAGAAGCAAAACACCACAAGGCCGGUGACACCACUUGGCGUAUUAGGAGGAAGGUGUGGAGGGCGUGAUCGUGCCUCCUUAAAAAAAAACUACCAUGUGGACCCAAAAGAAAUGUCCACUUGCCCCCCAACUACUUUUCACUUUCCCUUCUGUCAGGUGCAUCGUGGCGAAUGCAACCCAGUGGGAAAGGGAACCUGGCGGGAUUCACCGCGGGCACUCGGCGCCCGAGUCACCAUCACGACCACAGCCUGCCGAAGCAAGAGGGAAAUAUGCCCUGGAGAGGCAGGAACUCGCGGCCAGGCACUGAGCUGAACCCCUUGGUGGUGCGGGCACAGCCUCAGCGAGAGAGGCAGCAGAAACAUCAGCCCUUCAGGGCGGAACCUGAGCAAACGGGAGCACAGAGAAAGGGGAGGCUCCCGAGGAGUCGCCCUGGGCGCCACACGCUCCACUACAAGUUUUGUCGAGCAAAUAAGCUUUGCUCUAAUACCCCAGCAUUAAUAAGCUAGUGAGCACGGCCAGCACGGCUGAACCCUGAUUGUUUAACAAGGAGCCCAUCUGAGCAGACUCCAGCUCACUCCCUGAUGUGGACUCAGGCUUUGGAAAAGGUGGGAAUUUGCAGCUGGACUUCAAGGUCAGCUUCCUCUGUUGUCAAGUAGGGCUCCAAAUAAAAUAUUUACUGUAGGCAUCUGAUUCCAAUUUAAUUAUCUUUUCCAACAAGUGCUCCUUGGGCUUAACAGAAACAGAAAAAGCAAGUUAAUCACAAGCAUCUGCUCAUUUGCAUAUUCGUCCCGUAAUUACUGCAGCGCUGACACAGCAGCUGGGCCUGCCUGCAGGUGCAGCUCCCGGGGGGCCCAGGAGGGAGUCUGGAGGGGGCUCAGCGGGCUCCUGGCGGGAGCGCACUCGGCUCAGCUCAGGGCCAAGGUCCCUCCUGCACGGGAGCACAGCCCCUUACCUCUGCGCAGCCGCAGUCCUCUGGGAGGACGCUGCUGUGAGCGGCCCGCGGCUCCGGGAGGGGGAAGGGUAGUCUCCACCUCCGCGCCAAUGAACCACGCCUGCGAGCCAACAUGCCUGCCCUCCCAGCACCACGGAAAGCCGGUCUCGUCCAUCACCUCUGCGCCACCUUUGAUCUCCUGGUUAAGAACAGACCACCCCACAGCUCUUCAACCCUUUUCUUGCGUUUUUUGAAAAAUCCACAUA